GAUGAACGCUGGCGGCGUGCCUAAUACAUGCAAGUCGAGCGAAUGGAUUAAGAGCUUGCUCUUAUGAAGUUAGCGGCGGACGGGUGAGUAACACGUGGGUAACCUGCCCAUAAGACUGGGAUAACUCCGGGAAACCGGGGCUAAUACCGGAUAACAUUUUGAACCGCAUGGUUCGAAAUUGAAAGGCGGCUUCGGCUGUCACUUAUGGAUGGACCCGCGUCGCAUUAGCUAGUUGGUGAGGUAACGGCUCACCAAGGCAACGAUGCGUAGCCGACCUGAGAGGGUGACCGGCCACACUGGGCAUGGGACACGGCCCAGACUCCUACGGGAGGCAGCAGUAGGGAAUCUUCCGCAAUGGACGAAAGUCUGACGGAGCAACGCCGCGUGAGUGAUGAAGGCUUUCGGGUCGUAAAACUCUGUUGUUAGGGAAGAACAAGUGCUAGUUGAAUAAGCUGGCACCUUGACGGUACCUAACCAGAAAGCCACGGCUAACUACGUGCCAGCCGCCGCCGUAA
rnacentral:rRNA from 1 species